rnacentral:snRNA from 1 species
AUGGCUUCUUGGCCUUUUGGCCAAGAUCAAGUAUAGUAUGUGUUCUUACCAGUUUAAUAUCUGAUAUGUCUUCUAUCUGAGGACAAAUCUUUGUUUUUUUUAUACUUUAAGUUCUAGGGUACAAUGUGCAGGUUUGUUACAUUAUGUAUACAUGUGCCAUGUUGG